UACGUAGGGGGCAAGCGUUAUCCGGAUUUACUGGGUGUAAAGGGAGCGUAGACGGCGAUGCAAGUCUGAAGUGAAAGGCGGGGGCUCAACCCCUGGACUGCUUUGGAAACUGUAUGGCUGGAGUGCAGGAGAGGUAAGUGGAAUUCCUAGUGUAGCGGUGAAAUGCGUAGAUAUCAGGAGGAACACCGGCGGCGAAGGCGGCCUGCUGGACUGAAACUGACGUUGAGGCUCGAAAGCGUGGGGAGCAAACAGG
rnacentral:rRNA from 1 species